AAGAACUUUGAAGAGAGAGUUCAAGAGGGCGUGAAACUGCUUAGAAGCAAACGGAUGGACCUGACGGUGAGUCGAUGGGAUUCAGCUUAGUGCGCUGCCACCACCUAGAACAUCGGAUCGCUCGACUGGUUUCGGGGUAAGGUUGCAGUCGGUGAGUGCAUUUCCCAUCGAUGCGCACCGAGACCUGUGACCGCACUGGAAUCAAAAGAACAAUUGCCGGCCAUUGUUUUGGUGUCCCGCUGUUCUUGUAGACCAAGUUGCCGUUACAGGAGCUCGAAUGGACCCGCUCGGCUCAUGGGCACUUUGAACCUUUCCAAUCGAAGUGUUGUUCCUUGCUCGCAAGGUUCGGCGACACCUGGAUCGGUGAUAGGUGUUGGAUGAGCAGGUCCUAUUUCCCGGUGUUUCGUCAGUCACCCAUCCGACCCGUCUUGAAACACGGACCAAGGAGUCUAACAUGUGCGCGAGUCAUUGGGUUGCAAAACCUAAAGGCGAAAUGAAAGUGAAGUCCAAUUCGGUUGGAUGAUAUGGGACCCCGCGGUUCGUACCUCGGGUGCACCAUAGUCCCAUCCUUACUGCAUCGUCAGUCGGGUGGAGAUAGAGCGUACACGUUGGGACCCGAAAGAUGGUGAACUAUGCCUGAGCAGGAUGAAGCCAGAGGAAACUCUGGUGGAGGUCCAUAGCGAUUCUGACGUGCAAAUCGAUCGUCGGACUUGGGUAUAGGGGGCGAAAGACUA
rnacentral:rRNA from 1 species